rnacentral:rRNA from 1 species
CCCUUAGAUGUUCUGGGCCGCACGCGCGCUACACUGACGGAUUCAACGAGCUUACAACCUUGGCCGAAAGGUCUGGGUAAUCUCCAAAAUCCGUCGUGAUGGGGAUAGAUUAUUGCAAUUAUUAAUCUUCAACGAGGAAUGCCUAGUAAGCGCAAGUCAUCAGCUUGCGUUGAUUACGUCCCUGCCCUUUGUACACACCGCCCGUCGCUCCUACCGAUUGAAUGGUCCGGUGAAGCGUUUGGACUAUGGUUUUCUGAUGGUCCGCCGUUGGAUUACCGUGGGAAGUUCGUUAAACCGUAUCAUUUAGAGGAAGGAGAAGUCGUAACA